rnacentral:lncRNA from 1 species
AAGUUUCAACAUCUCAAACUCACUACAGUAUUCGGAUUUUUCCCAAUUAGACUAACUUCUUUUAAUGACCGAGAAAUUGACCUUGGAUCAACCCUUAGGACCAAUGGCAGCCUCCAAAACUGGGGGAUAAUUGGCCUGCCCCUCUACAGGCUUAGUUUGCAUGGCACAAGGCCUGAACCUGUGACCUAAGCACCUCAACCUUUACCACUUGAACUAAGCCCUAGGGGCUUUCUCUAUCCACUAACUAAUCAACUAUUACUCCAAUUCUUUUUUACAAUAUGGCUAAUAUAACUAUAAGUCUACAUCGUAUUGAAUCCGAUAUCAUCAUAUAAAACGGAAUCAAAGAGCACAAACUAAAUGCUAUAUUGCAAAAGAAAAAGAAAAUGGACCAAGUAAACACAAUUUGAAGCUAAACAGAAGGAAGAUACGUGCGUACCUUUCAGCGGAGGGUACAAGGGCAGAAGCAUUGAAAUCAUGGAAUGCUUUAUCUGUAGGGACAGGAAUGGAACCACAGAGAAAGCCAACAGGUUUAGGGCGUGCAAUUUCGAGUCUUCCUACACACUGUAACUCUCGGGAGCUUGACGCUUGCUUCUCCAUAGAUAAUAAAGGAGAAGCUAGGGUUUCUUCGAUCUUCUUUCUGACGUUAGUGGAAGAUGAUCAGACGGACGGACGGGAUCUUGUGCUGUGAGUUUAUGUUCCAGAAGAUUCGAUGGCAACAAGAAGAAAUAGAGCUACUCAUGUGAAAAAAUAGGAGAUUAUUGAGCAGAAGCAACGCCACCAGUUGAUUUUCAGUAGAGAAGAAUUGAUUUGACGAAAAAAAGGAAAAAGGAAGAGAAAUUUUGAUUUUUACCUUUACAAAGAACCUAUAGAGAAAUAGUACAACUCGUUUAGACAUAAAUCACUUAGGGUUGUUCAAAAC